UUGGAGCUUCAGCUUUCAUCUUCGCCUCCUCUCAUCAUCAAUCGCGGAAGAAAAAUCUCCUCACGUUGCAUCACAAUGUCCACGCGAUUCAAUGUUCUAAACGCUUCAGGAAAACACAACUGCGAUGCCGGGGCAAGCUCGAUUAUUCUUCAUCAGACGCGAAAUUGAGGAUGGAAAAAUGAAGAACACGACUUCGAAUUGCAAUCCUUCUCUGAAAUCAACAUCAGUAUCCAAGCAUGAGUCAUCAUUUGCAUGCCUAAAACUAGAGAACACGAAAUUGAAAUUGAAGCGAGAAUCUCACCGGAUGGAAGCUUCGAUGAGAAUAAGAUGGGUUAUGUGAUUGGAUGGAGGGAGGCAUGACCAAAUGGAAAUGUAUAAAGCAUAGGAGAUCAAUGACGGGCUUCCGAAAUCCCAAGCUUCUUUCCCUUUUGAUACGAGCUAUAUAAUAGCACGGGAUGGUGCUAACAUGAUGUAAUAAUAUUAGGACAUGGAUUAGCUUAUCUUCUUAUGCUUGUAAUGGAAAAAAAAUCACUUAUAAUCAUUUAUGUCAAAAAAUGCUUAUGUAAUGUAAUUUAAAUUGUGAUUCUUUUGAAAGUGUUGUCGUCCGAGGGGAAUGCCUCGUAAGCUUCAAUGUUUCAAAGGGAUCUAUGGCUCUAAGAACCUUUUAGAACA